rnacentral:rRNA from 1 species
CCUACGGGAGGCAGCAGUGAGGAAUAUUGGUCAAUGGACGAGCGUCUGAACCAGCCAAGUCGCGUGAAGGAUGACUGCCCUAUGGGUUGUAAACCUCUUUUAUAAAGGAAUAAAACGAGGUACGUGUGCCUUUUUGCAUGUACUUUAUGAAAAAGGAUCGGCUAACUCCGUGCCAGCAGCCGCGGUAAUACGGAGGAUCCGAGCGUUAUGCGGAUUUAUUGGGUUUAAAGGGAGCGUAGAUGGGUUGUUAAGUCAGUUGUGAAAGUUUGCGGCUCAACCGUAAAAUUGCAAUUGAUACUGGCAGUCUUGAGUACAGGUGAGGUAGGCGGAAUUCGUGGUGUAGCGGUGAAAUGCUUAGAUAUCACGAAGAACCCCGAUUGCGAAGGCAGCUUACUAAACUGUGACUGACAUUGAUGCUCGAAAGUGUGGGUAUCGAACAGGAUUAGAUACCCGUGUAGUC